UGUGCCGCCAUCCCUACCCCUCCAUCUCCUGCGUGGGACGCUGCUCGUGGAGCCCCAGGAUCUUUGCCUUGUGUGUGCUCUCUUCCCCUGAGAGCCCUGACGGGAGCACGUUCCACUGCCUGGUGUUUGCAUCCAGCUCUGAGCAGGAAUGCGAGGAAAUCAUCGAGAGAAUCGCUGCAGGAUUCAAGCACACAGAGUGGUUUGUCUGAGGAAGAAGAGCACCAUGAGGCACCACUGGCCCAGCAGCAGCAGCUGAGGGACACAGGCCCUGCCUCCCACAGCGAGUUGGGAUGGAUUUCAUCCUCUUCCUCACCAUCCUGGGUGGGAGAUCACGGGUACUGGAACCUGGCGGGGACUGCUGCUACUCUUGCCCCAGAACUGCCCAAUUUCCACUGGAAUAAAUCAAGCCAGGCCGGCUCAACCACUUCCCUGUGCAGCUUUGUGU